UGCAAGUUCACAGACAUAUUUUACUUUUGACAGCAGCAGUCCUUUAUGAAAAUGUCUUUGCAAGGUUUUAUUUUUUUAAAAAAAAUCUGGUCCUAUUUACAAAGAUUUGCUGAACUGGAAAAAUGAGAAAAUCUUGCCAUGAUUUCAAAUUAAUUCUUCAGAUAUUUAAGAGCUGUUAAAAGACUUGGAGUGUGUCUACACUCACCACUAAAUCUGCAGCCAAUCAGGAGCAAAAAUGGUCUGGACUGAUCCUGGAGGCAUCCGGAUGCACCCAACCAAAACUGCUAUGGCACUAUUAUCCACAAGCUCCAGAGAACACUGCUCCUUCACAAGCAAGGCUGAGAAACCGUUCUCAUGCCCUCCAGUGCAAUUCUAUGGUCAACUUCCAACGGAAAACUGUAGAGCCAUGCUGGAGGACCUAGAAUGGUGCUCUCUCUGUUUUUUAAAAAACUAAGAUAAAAUUUCUCAGGAAACUGAUUUCUUCACUCUCCCUUCUUUUUAGAGAACAAAACUCCUUCACAAGCAAGGCUGAGAAACGUAUGGCCCAUGAGUAUGGCCUCUACAGACUCAUCCCCCUUAUUGUUUUUCAACAUGAUUUUCAGGUACAAAUCACUUGAAAAUCCUAAAAUGUUCUAGAUGAGCAUGAAAAAUUAGUUUUAGGACAGCAAAAGUUUGCAAAAUUAUUGGAAGAGAAGUACUCCUUUUUCUGUUUGUGUGCCUGUUAUAAGUUUGGAAAUAUUGCUUUCAAAUUUCACAUAGCAUUUAUAAAACUUUAU
rnacentral:lncRNA from 11 species